UCUUGUAGGAAGAUCUAAAUAUUAAUAAACAACAAACUUUCCAAAGUGGUCUUUUGGCCUUGAAGCUUCGAAGUUUUUCAAGGAUCCAUGAAUUGAAAGUACCAUCCUAAAUCAUCAUUAGUUCUCUUCACUGUUAGGACUGGAGAAAUCACAGAACUGUUCAACAAUUUCAUCAAAUCCUGCAAAAUGCACUGAAGUCAAUAGGGAAGGAGGACCUUAACUAGUUGUGACUGGAUUAUAAUGGUGCAAUGUUUUUUUCAGUGUUCCUCAGGGAUAGGGAAGCAUCUGCCAACUGAUUAUUGAGGUCACAAAUGUUAUCUGAGCUGUGAAGCAGCAGUCACUGUGUCAUUAUCCUUUCAUCUGUGUCUUUUGUUAUUUGAGGCAUGGUGACAAAGUACAACAAAUAGCCACAAACUAACAAAUAUAUAGGUUGUCACAAAGUUACACACUGGCAGUGCCAAGAAGCAGCAACACGGGAUUGGCUUGUUCCAUCAUUUAAAGUCAGGACUCUAGGCGCAGCUAUAAUGUCUUCUUUGUUUCAGAUUUAUCUCUGUAGAUACUUUGCACUUUUUUCUUCCAUCAAACCUUGUAAACAGUAAUAAACAUUUUAUUAUUA